rnacentral:ncRNA from 1 species
AUAGUAGGUCUAUCCGUGUCGUUGUAUAGGCGAUGGCACUAAACCACCUAAAGGUGCUGUGGUAUUGAGCGUUUAGGAGAAUCCUGUCCAAGAGACAGGCAGG